AUUUAUCUUUUCUAUUAAAGAUUAAUACCUUGAAAUGUCAAAAUAGCAUAGACUUGAGAAAAAUUUAAGCCUUGUAGAGUUACUCUGUAUACUUACCUAUAACAAGCCUCUAGUGUGCUGGCAGAAUGCAGUGUGCAGAUGAAGGCUGAGAGAUAAUAUCCCACCUCUUCUGCUUCAGCUUCCCAGAGUGGGUGUGGCUAGUGGAGGGGAGUUCAUACAACUGACAAUAUGCUUGCCCAAUAUUUUCUGGCUAACCCUCAUUUCUCACAAUGACUCUUUGUAGGCUUUUUUGUUGUUGUUGUUUUUCAUUUCACCUCCAGGUAUGAUUUUUAUUUUUGCAAAGAACUGAGGGAUGAAAAGUUUUGCCAGCAGAUAUUUGGUGUUGUGAACACGUAGAAGUGGUCUAAGGAAGUUACUGGCCUAGUCUCUGCUCUAGUGGAGAGUCAAGAAAACUUUGCUUUUGACUUAUUUACAGCUAGUCACAAUUGAGUGAAGUAUACUCCUGUAAACAAAUUUGGAUUUCUCUCUCUCAAUCUGAUUUCUCCAGAAUGUGGAAACUAUUUGACAUGAGACUUCACAACCUGCUAAAAAUGAGCUUUUCUAAUAAUGUGGGACUUACCCUUCUACAAGUAAACCAUCCUAGUCAUGAGGGAUCAGAUGAAACCUGAGACCAGAGACUCAUUUUCUUCUAAAAUGAUUUCUCCAAAGGAUUUUAAAAAGAAAAAGGUUAAAAUGUGAAAGGAAAAUAAAUCUUGGGACCCCCCAAAUCUCUAAGCUAAAGGGAAAAGUCAAGAUGGGAACUGCUUAGGGCAAACCUGCCUCCCAUUCUUUUCAAAGUCAUCCCUCUGCUCACUAAGAUAAAUGCAUAUCUUACUGUUUCCUUUGGAAAGGCUAAUCAGAAACUCAGAAGAAUGAAACCAUUUGGUUUUUCUUUUAUCUACCUAUCACCUGGAAGCACCCUUCCCACUUCAAGUUGUCCUGCCUUUCUGGACUAAACCAAUGUACAUCUUACGUACAUUGAUUGAUAUCUCAUGUCUCCAUAAAAUGUAUAAAACCAAGCUGUGCCCCCACCCCCUUGGGCACAUGUUGUCAGGACCAGGACCUUGUGAGGCUGCAUCAUGGGCACGUGUCCCUGACUUUGGCAAAAUAAACUUUCUGAAUUGACUGAGACCCGUCUUAGAUAUUUGGGGUUCAUACCCGCUUGGUACUGUGUAGUGAAUGAGUUCUCACAAGAUCUGGUUGUUUAAAAGUGUAUGGCACCACCUACCUGUCUCUCUUCUUCCUGCUCUGGCAAUAUAAGACAUGCCUGCUUCUCCUUGGCCUUCCACCAUGACUGUAAGUUUCCUGAGGCCUCUCCAGAAGCCAAGCAGAUGCCAGAAUCAUGCUUCCUGCACAGCCUGUGGAACUGUGAGCCAAUUAAACUUCUUUUAUUUAUAAAUUACCCAGCCUCAGGUAUUGCUUUAUAGCAGUGCAAGAAUAGACUAAUAUAAGUGUUACAGAUAUUGAGUAGGUAAAAAUCAAUAGGAUUUAGCAGUUGGACCUAGAGACGCAGGAACUGGGGAGAUUUUUUUAAAGAGGUGAUUAGAAGAAUAAUAUUGUCAUCAUGGAAAUUAGAAAGUUAGGUUUAUUGGUGAAAAGUUGGUGAAUAAUCUUCUAGAUAUUUUGAGUUUAAUGUACUAAUGAGGAACAAGUGGAGAUCUCCAUCAUGCACUUGGAAAUUUAGGACUGGAGCUGGGAGACAAGUGGGGCCAGAAAUAAAGGUAUGCUCCUUCUGCUCUCAACCCACCAUGGCCGUUUAGUGGGAUCAGUAGAAUCCCUGCAAGUAAGUGUCUGGAUUUAGCAAAAUAGCAUGGAAGAACAAACUGAUGCCAGAACCUACGAACUGACAGCAUUUAAGGGGUGGGAGGGAAAAAGAAAAAAGCAGAUGUGAAAAGAGAUCAGGAAACUUAGGCAAGUCAAAUAAGAGAAAAUUAUUUCAAGUGUGAACUUCCGUAUAUAACGUCUAUGAUUUAGGCCCAGUUUAUAUCAAGAACUUAAGAAAGAAAAUUGGAAAAAUAAAUAGGGCUUUAUGUAUUUUUAGGACUUAUGAUGAUGAUUAUGAUAUAGAAUGAAAUAAAGUGUGGGUCAGGAGCAGUGGCUCACGCCUGUAAUCCCAGCACUUUGGGAGGCUGAGGUGGUGGAUCACAGGUCAAGAGAUCUAAAUCAUCCUGGCCAGCAUGGUGAAACCCAUCUCUACUAA
rnacentral:lncRNA from 10 species